AUGGCUGCUCCGGUGAAGGCGUCGUGGAUGGUGGCCAUGAGCGUGGGCGCCGUGGAGGCCCUCAAGGACCAAGCCAGGCUCUGCCGAUGGAACUACGCGCUCACGUCCAUCCACCGGGCAGCCAAGGCCAGGACCAACGUCCGCGGCAGCGUCUCGCAGGGCCCCAAGCAGCUUCCGGCCUCCGCUGCGGCUGUGGCGGAGAGGCGGCGAGCAGAGAAGGCCGAGGAGGGGCUGAGGACAGUCAUGUCCCUCAGCUGCUGGGGGCCAAAUUAG
rnacentral:rRNA from 1 species